GGCUGGCCAACUUCGUCCGCCGGACUCGGUAUCCAUUGAGACUUUGUGAGGGGCCUCCGUGUACCAAAAAUAGGCCGCGGGCAAAGCCACGCCCAAAAAUAACCGCCUGAAGUCCGGGGCGCCAAGUUCGUCCUGCGGAAAAAGGCCACAAAAACGGGUGGGCUAUAGCCUUGGGGGGUGGGGCUGGCCAACUUCGUCCGCCGGACUCGGAAUGGUGCGAGACUUUGCGAGGGGCCUCCCUGUGCCAUAAAUAUGCCGUGCGCAAAACCGCGCCCAAAAAUAACCGCCCGAAAGCCGGGGCGCCAACUUCGUCCAGCGGAAAAAAGCCACAAAAACGGGUGGGCUAUAGCCUUGGGGGGUGGGGCUGGCCAACUUCGUCCGCCGAACUCGGAAUGGCGCGAGACAUUGCGAGGCGCCUCCGUGUGCCAAAAAUAGGCCGCGGGUACAGCCGCGCCUAAACAUAACCGCCCGAAGGCCGGGGCGCCAAGUUCGUCCAGCGGACAAAGGCCACAAAAACGGGUGGGCUAUAGCCUUGGGGGGUAGGGCUGGCCGACUUCGUCCGCCGAACUUGGAAUGGCGCGAGACUUUGCGACGCACCUCCGUGUGCCAAAAAUAGGCCACGGGCACAGCCGUGCCUAAACAUAACCGCCCGAAGGCCGGGGCGCCAAGUUCGUCCAGCGGAAAAAGGCCACAAAAACGGGUGGGCUAUAGCCUUGGGGGGUGGGCUAUAGCCUUGGUGGGCGGGGUUGGCCAACUUCGUCCGCCGGACUUGGAAUGGUGCGAGACUUUGCGAGGCACCUCCGUGUGCCUAAAAUAGGCCACGGGCACAGCCGCGCCCAAACAUAACCGCCCGAAGAUCAGGGCGCCAAGUUCGUGCAGCGGAAAAAGGCCACAAAAACGGGUGGGCUAUAGCCUUGGGGGGUGGGGCUGGCCAACUUCGUCCGCCGGACUCGGAAUGGUGCGAGACUUUGCGAGGCACCUCCGUGUGCCAAAAAUAGGCCGCGGGCACAGCCGCACCCAAAAAUAACCGCCCGAAGGCCGGGGCGCCAAGUUCGUCCAGCGCAAAAAGGCCACAAAAACGGGUGGGCUAUAGCCUUGGGGGGUGGGGCUGGCCAACUUCGUCCGCCGGACUCGGAAUGGCGUGAGACUUUGCGAGCAGCCUCCGUGUGCAAAAAAAAAACCGCGGGCACAAAAACUGCCCGAAGGCCGGGGCGCCAAGUUCGUCCAGCGGAAAAAGGCCACAAAAACGGGUGGGCUAUAGCCUUUUGGGGGGUGGGGCUGGCCAACUUCGUCCGCCGGACUCGGAAUGCCGCGAGACUUUGCGAGGGUCUCCGUGUGCCAAAAAUAGCCCGCGAGUAAAGCCGCGCCCAAAAAUAACUGCCCGAAGGCCGGGGCGCCAAGUUCAUCCAGCGGAAAAAGGCCACAAAAACAGUUGGGCUAUAGCCUUGGGGGGUGGGGCUGGCCAACUUCGUCCGCCGGACUCGGAAUGGUGCGAGACUUUGCGAGGGGCCUCCCUGUGCCAAAAAUAUGCCGCGCGCAAAACCGCGCCCAAAAAUAACCGCCCGAAGGCCGGGGCGCCAACUUCGUCCAGCGGAAAGAGGCCACAAAAACGGGUGGGCUAUUGCCUUGGGGGGUGGGGCUGGCCAAAUUCGUCCGCCGGACUCGGAAUCCAUNNNNNNNNNNNNNNNNNNNNNNNNNNNNNNNNNNNNNNNNNNNNNNNNNNNNNNNNNNNNNNNNNNNNNNNNNNNNNNNNNNNNNNNNNNNNNNNNNNNNNNNNNNNNNNNNNNNNNNNNNNNNNNNNNNNNNNNNNNNNNNNNNNNNNNNNNNNNNNNNNNNNNNNNNNNNNNNNNNNNNNNNNNNNNNNNNNNNNNNNNNNNNNNNNNNNNNNNNNNNNNNNNNNNAAACCGCGCCCAAAAAUAACCGCCCGAAAGCCGGGGCGCCAACUUCGUCCAGCGGAAAAAAGCCACAAAAACGGGUGGGCUAUAGCCUUGGGGGGUGGGGCUGGCCAACUUCGUCCGCCGAACUCGGAAUGGCGCGAGACAUUGCGAGGGGCCUCCGUGUGCCAAAAAUAGGCCGCGGGUACAGCCGCGCCUAAACAUAACCGCCCGAAGGCCGGGGCGCCAAGUUCGUCCAGCGGAAAAAGGCCACAAAAACGGGUGGGCUAUAGCCUUGGGGGGUAGGGCUGGCCGACUUCGUCCGCCGAACUUGGAAUGGCGCGAGACUUUGCGACGCACCUCCGUGUGCCAAAAAUAGGCCACGGGCACAGCCGUGCCUAAACAUAACCGCCCGAAGGCCGGGGCGCCAAGUUCGUCCAGCGGAAAAAGGCCACAAAAACGGGUGGGCUAUAGCCUUGGGGGGUGGGCUAUAGCCUUGGUGGGCGGGGUUGGCCAACUUCGUCCACCGGACUUGGAAUGGUGCGAGACUUUGCGAGGCACCUCCGUGUGCCUAAAAUAGGCCACGGGCACAGCCGCGCCCAAACAUAACCGCCCGAAGAUCAGGGCGCCAAGUUCGUGCAGCGGAAAAAGGCCACAAAAACGGGUGGGCUAUAGCCUUGGGGGGUGGGGCUGGCCAACUUCGUCCGCCGGACUCGGAAUGGUGCGAGACUUUGCGAGGGGCCUCCCUGUGCCAUAAAUAUGCCGUGCGCAAAACCUCGCCCAAAAAUAACCGCCCGAAAGCCGGGGCGCCAACUUCGUCCAGCGGAAAAAAGCCACAAAAACGGGUGGGCUAUAGCCUUGGGGGGUGGGGCUGGCCAACUUCGUUCGCCGGACUCGGAAUGCCUCGAGACUUUGCGAGGGGCCUCCCUGUGCCAAAAAUAGGCCGUGCGCAAAGCUGUGCCCAUAAAUAACCGCCCGAAGGCCGGGCCGCCAGGAUCGUCCAGCGGAAAAAGGCCACAAAAACGGGUGGGCUAUAGCCUUGGGGGGUGGGGCUGGCCAACUUCGUCCGCCGGACUCGGAAUGCCGAGAGACUUUGCGAGGGGCCUCCAUGUGCCAAAAAUAUGGCGCGGGCAAAGCCGCGCCCAAAAAUAACCGCCUGAAGGCCGGGGUGCCAAGUUCGUCCGGCGGAAAAAGGCCACAAAAACGGGUGGGCUAUAGCCUUGGGGGGUGGGGCUGGCCAACUUCGUCCGCCGGACUUGGAAUGGCUCGAGACUUUGCGAGGGGCCUCCGUGUGCCAAAAAUAGGCCACGGCCCAAGUCGCGCCCAAAAAUAACCGCCCGAAGGCCGGGGCGCCCAGUUCGUCCAGCAGAAAAAGGCCACAAAAAUGGGUGGGCUAUAGCCUUGGGGGGUGGGGCUGGCCAACUUCGUCCGCCGGACUCGGAAUGGCGCGAGACUUUGCAAGGCUCCUCCGUGUACCAAAAAUAGGCCAUGGGCACAGCCACGCCCAAAAAUAACCGCCGAAGGCCGGGGCGCCAAGAUCGUCCAGCAGAAAAAGGCUACAAAAACGGGUGGGCUAUAGCCUUGGGGGGUGGGGCUGGCCCACUUCGUCCGCCGGACUCGGAAUGGUGCGAGACUUUGCGAGGCACCUCCGUGUGCCAAAAAUAGGCUGCGGGGACAGCCGCGUCCAAAAAUAACAGCCCGAUGGCCGUGGCGCCAAGUUCGUCCAGCGGAAAAAGGCCACAAAAACGUGUGGUCUAUAGCCUUGGGGGGUGGGGCUGGCCAACUUCGUCCGCCGGGCUCGGAAUUGCGCGAGACUUUGUGAGGCGCCACCGUGUGCCAAAAAUAGGCUGCGGGCGCAGCCGCGACCAAAAAUAACUGCCCAAAAGCCGGGGGGCCAAGUUCGUCCAGCGCAAAAAGGCCACAAAAACGUGUGGGCUAUAGCCUUCGGGGGUGGGGCUUGCCAACUUCAUCCGCCGGACUCGGAAUGGCGCGAGACUAUGCGAGGCACCUCCGUGUGCCAAAAAUAGGCCACGGACACAGCCGUGCCCAAAAAUAACUGCCCGAAGGCCGGGGCGCCAAGUUCGUCCAGCGGAAAAACGCCACCAAAACGGGUGGGCUAUAGCCUUGGGGGGUGGGGCUGGCCAACUUAGUCCGCCGGACUCGGAAUGGUGCGAGACUUUCCGAGGCACCUCCGUGUGCCAAAAAUAGGCCACGGGCACAGCCGCUUCCAAAAAUAACCGCCUGAAGGCUGGGGCGCAAAGUCCGUCCCGCGGAAAAACGCCCCAAAAACGGGUGGGCUAUAGCCUUGGGGGGUGGGGCCGGCCAACAUGGUACGCCAGACUCGGAAUGGUGCGAGACUUUGCGAGGCUCCUCCGUGUGCCAAAAAUAGGCCACGGGCACAGCCGCGCCCAAAAAUAACCGCCCGAAGGCUUGGGCGCCAAGUUCGUCCAGCGGAAAAAGGCCACAAAAACGGGUGGGCUCUAGCCUUGGGGGGUGGGGCUGGCCAACUACGUCCACCGGACUCGGAAUGGCGGGAGACUUUGCGAGGCGCCUCCGUAUGCCAAAAAUAGGCAGCGGGCACAGCCGCGCCCAAACAUAACCACCUGAAGGCCGGGGUGCCAAGUUCGUCCAACGGAAAAAGGCCACAAAAACGGGUGGGCUCUAGCCUUGGGGGGUGGGGCUUGCCAACUUCGUCCGCCGAACUCGGAAUGGCGCGAGACAUUGCGAGGCCGCACCGUGUGCCAAAAAUAUGCAGCGGGCACAGCCGCGCCUAAACAUAACCGCCCGAAGGCCGGGGAGCCAAGUUCGUCCAGCGGAAAAAGGCCACAAAAACGGGUGGGCUAUAGCCUUGGGGGGUGGGGCUGGCCAACUUCGUCCGCCGAACUUGGAAUGGCGCGACACUUUGCGAGGCACCUCCGUGUGCCAAAAAUAGGCCGCGGGCACAGCCGCGCCUAAACAUAACCGCCCGAAGGCCGGGGCGCCUAUUUCGUCCAGCGGAAAAACGCCACAAAAACGGGUGGGCUAUAGCCUUGGGGGGUGGGCUAUAGCCUUGGUGGGCGGGACUGGCCAACUUCGUCCGCCGGACUCGGAAUGGCACGAGACUUUGCGAGGCGCCUCCGUGUGCCAAAAAUAGGCCAUGGGCACAGCCGCGCCCAAACAUAACCGCCCGAAGGCCGGGGCGCCAAGUUCGUCCAGCGGAAAAAGGCCACAAAAACGGGUGGGCUAUAGCCUUGGUGGGUGGGGCUGGCCAACUUCGUCCGCCGGACUCGGAAUUCCGCGAGACUUUGCGAGGCGCCUCCGUGUGCCAAAAAUAGGCCGCGGACACAGCCGCGUCCAAAAAUAACUGCCCGAAGGCCGGGGCGCCAAGUUCGUCCAGCGGAAAAAGGACACAAAAACGGGUGGGCUAUAGCCUUGGGGGGUGGGGCUGGCCAACUUCGUCCGCCGGACUCGGAAUGCCACAAGACUUUGCGAGGGGCCUCCGUGUGCCAAAAACAGGCCGCGGGCAAAACCGUGCCCAAAAAUAACCGCCCGAAGGCUGGGGCGCCACGUUCGUCCGGCGGAAAAAGGCCACAAAAACGGGUGGGCUAUAGCCUUGGGGGGUGGGGCUGGCCACCUUCGUCCGCCGGACUCGGAAUGCAUCGAGACUUUAUGAGGGGCCUCCGUGUUCCAAAAAUAGGCCGCGGGCAAAGCCACGCCCAAAAAUAACCGCCCGAAGGUCGGGGCGCCAAGUUCGUCCCGCGGAAAGAGGCCACAAAAACGGGUGGGCUAUAGCCUUAGGGGGUGGGGCUAGCCAACUUCGUCCGCCGGACUCGGAAUGCAUCGAGACUUUGAGAGGGGCCUCCCUGUGCCAAAAAUAGGCCGCGCGCAAAACCGCGCCCAAAAAUAACCGCCCGAAGGCCGGGGCGCCAAGUUCGUCCAGCUGAAAAAGGCCACAAAAACGGGUGGGCUAUAGCCUUGGGGGGUGGGGUUGGCCAACUUCGUCCGCCGGACUCGGAAUGCCGCAAGACUUUGCGAGGGGCCUCCGUGUGCCAAAAAUAGGCUGCGGGUAAAGCCGCGCCCAAAAAUAACUGCCCGAAGGCCGGGGCGCCAAGUUCGUCCAGCUGAAAAAGGCCACAAAAACGGGUGGGCUAUAGCCUUGGGGGGUGGGGCUCGCCAACUUCGUCCGCCGGACUCGGAAUGCAUCGAGACUUUGAGAGGGGCCUCCCUGUGCCAAAAAUAGGCCGCGAGCAAAGCCGCGCCCAAAAAUAACCGCCGGAAGGCCGGGGCGCCAAGUUCGUCCAGCGGAAAAAGGCCACAAAAACGGGUGGGCUAUAGCCUUGGGGGGUGGGGUUGGCCAACUUCGUCCGCCGGACUCGGAAUGCCGCAAGACUUUGCGAGGGGCCUCCGUGUGCCAAAAAUAGGCCGCGGGUAAAGCCGCACCCAAAAAUAACAGCCCGAAGGCCUGGGUGCCAAGUUCGUCCAACUGAAAAAGGCCACAAAAACGGGUGGGCUAUAGCCUUGGGGGGUGGGGCUGGCCAACUUCGUCCGCCGGACUCGGAAUGGCGCGAGACAUUGCGAGGGGCCUCCCUGUGCCAAAAAUAGGCCGCACGCAAAACCGCGCCCAAAAAUAACCGCCUGAAGGCCGGGGCGCCAAGUUCGUCCAGCGGAAAGAGGCCACAAAAACAGGUGGGCUAUAGCCUUGGGGGGUGGGGAUGGCCAACUUCGUCCGCCGGACUCGGAAUGCCGCGAGACUUUGCGAGGGGCCUCCAUAUGCCAAAAAUAGGCCGCGACCAAAGCCGCACCCAAAAAUAACCGUCCGAAGGCCGGGGCGCCAAGUUCGUCCGCCGGACUUGGAAUGGCGCGAGACUUUGCGAGGGUCCUCCGUGUGCCAAAAACAGGCCGCGGGCAAAGCUGCGCCCAAAAAUAACCACCCGAAGGCCGGGGCGCCAAGUUCGUCCAGCGGAAAGAGGCCACAAAAACGGGUGGGCUAUAGCCUUGGGGGGUGGGGCUGGCCAACUUCGUCCGCCGGACUCGGAAUGGCGCGAGACUUUGCGAGGGGCCUCCCUGUGCCAAAAAUAGGCCGCGCACAAAACCGCGCCCAAAAAUAACUGCCCGAAGGCCGGGGCGCCAAGUUCGUCCAGCGGAAAGAGGCCACAAAAACGGGUGGGCUAUAGCCUUGGGGGGUGGGGAUGGCCAACUUCGUCCGGCGGACUCGGAA
rnacentral:lncRNA from 1 species